CGUUGACUUGUGGGUAAUGGCGACCGAAUUUUAAUUUAUGUCUAUUUACGCUUUUGUUGUUGUGUUGUGGUGAGACAUUUUAAUUGUGAAAAUUUGUUGUUUUUAUCAAGAAUAAACGGUGUAAUUAUGUAUUAGAUUGAAAUCCUGUCUUUCAUGUUGUCGGACACGAAAUGUAGAAACGAUAGCCUUAGUUUAAAGGGGUUUGCCGAAGCGAUUUCGCUUGCAACACCGAACUAUUUUGAUUGGAAAUGGACGGGCUUCGUUGUUACGGGCUACUACAAGGUAUUUCUAACAUGGAUUGUUUGUUCUCUACUGGAAUUAAAUUGAAGAAAAGAUGAUGACAAAUCGUAUGUUGCCUUUGGAAAUGUGAGUUUUAUAACAUUCUAUAUGUCGAUCUCAAUCCUUGCCCUAGUAAACGUUUUAUAAUCCCGCACGAUUUACUGACGCAAAGCAAACAUGUAAAAAAUUAAGCCAAAAAGUUAUUAUAAAGUCGUGUGCAUUUCAUGAUCGUCUAUUCGAGUUAUUUAUGAACUAGUACGUACCAAAAAAUCAUGGCUUUAUACUCUAUUUGAAUGGUACUACAUCACAGUCUUCACUACUUGAAGUAAAAAGCCAAAUUUAUAUAUGUGAUUCGCUGAAUAUGCAACAGUAUAAAAGCCAACAUAAUCCCAACUUUAAUUCCAUCGUAUUAUUAUUAGUUCCGUGAGUUUAGAUUGUUUGCAGAUCUGUAGUACAGGUUUUUAAAUUGUGUAUAUACGGACCUAGCUCUAGGACAAGUUAAUACUGUACAAUGAAGAAUACAUUUACUCAAUACAAUAGUCCUCUUGAAUUUGCUGUCACAAUUUCUAAAUUAGCUUUUGUUUGAAAAUGUCUGGGGGGCUGUUUAAGACCCAUUUACACUAUCCAACCUGCCGAAUGUACUCGGAUAAAUGUGUGUAAAGAUGUCACAUUUCAAAUUUCGCCAUAAACUGAUGAACAUGAAUUGUGGUGUUGGCAGUCAUUUUCGUACCCCAGAAUCCCAGUUGUAUACAAGUAGUUAUAAUGUGUAAAUGGGCCUUCACAUAUAAAUGGAAGUAUGGCUAGCCUAACGUGAAAAUUUACCAGAUCUUUGCCAGGAUAAUGUUGUUGUGUGACAUUGUUGUGACAGUUGCUAACAAUAGCGCACAGCGCCAUCUUGAUGACCUUAGGUCAACCUGGCUGGUAACUGUGUUCUCAUCUGUUUCAAGGGAGAUCUCUUUAACCAGUCCAGUCAGGUUCUCUAUAUAAGCACAGCUUGUUGAGUAAAAUCAUCUGGCAUUAGGCAGAGUAAAAUAAUAUUAAAGUAGGCACAUGUAUAUGCUAACCCAUUGAAUGCCAACGCUCUCCCCUUGAUGAGUAAAUUUGUCUGGCAUUAUACAGGUAAAAUAAGGCACAUGCAGGCAUAAUGCUACUCAAUGGGUUAAGAAUAACUACACAGUGACUUGCUGAGUCAAAUGCUUGAAUAUAUUUAUGCACCUAGUCAUUAUUUUACAGCGAUAUUUGAAAUGUGAAAUCUUUAUGUAUGUUGAUAUCAUUAGAGUAGCCUACUGUAUGUCAUAGACCCAAGCUUAAAAAUGAAAGGUGUUGUAGUAAUAACUUGCGUUGUGAUGGGCAUUGCUGUCUUGAAUGCAUUUGUGAUUAUGAACACGAAGCUUUCAUGAGUCUAGGAUGUAGCUUACUGCAUGAUAGAAUCAAAUACAUCAUCAAAGAGAUAUAAGAGCCUUAAGUUUCAUUGCUUAUGGCAAAACUGGUCAAUUUUAUUUUCAGCCGAGGAUUUUCGCGAGGCAAUGG
rnacentral:lncRNA from 1 species